rnacentral:rRNA from 1 species
UUGGGCGUAAGAGCUCGUAGGCGGUUUGUCGCGUCUGCCGUGAAAGUCCGGGGCUCAACUCCGGAUCUGCGGUGGGUACGGGCAGACUAGAGUGAUGUAGGGGAGACUGGAAUUCCUGGUGUAGCGGUGAAAUGCGCAGAUAUCAGGAGGAACACCGAUGGCGAAGGCAGGUCUCUGGGCAUUAACUGACGCUGAGGAGCGAAAGCAUGGGGAGCGAACAGGAUUAGAUACCCUGGUAGUCCAUGCCGUAAACGUUGGGCACUAGGUGUGGGGGACAUUCCACGUUUUCCGCGCCGUAGCUAACGCAUUAAGUGCCCCGCCUGGGGAGUACGGCCGCAAGGCUAAAACUCAAAGGAAUUGACGGGGGCCCGCACAAGCGGCGGAGCAUGCGGAUUAAUUCGAUGCAACGCGAAGAACCUUACCAAGGCUUGACAUGGACCGGACCGCCGCAGAAAUGUGGUUUCUCCUUUUGGGGCCGGUUCACAGGUGGUGCAUGGUUGUCGUCAGCUCGUGUCGUGAGAUGUUGGGUUAAGUCCCGCAACGAGCGCAACCCUCGUUCCAUGUUGCCAGCACGUAGUGGUGGGGACUCAUGGGAGACUGCCGGGGUCAACUCGGAGGAAGGUGGGGACGACGUCAAAUCAUCAUGCCCCUUAUGUCUUGGGCUUCACGCAUGCUACAAUGGCCGGUACAAAGGGUUGCGAUACUGUGAGGUGGAGCUAAUCCCAAAAAGCCGGUCUCAGUUCGGAUUGGGGUCUGCAACUCGACCCCAUGAAGUCGGAGUCGCUAGUAAUCGCAGAUCAGCAACGCUGCGGUGAAUACGUUCCCGGGCCUUGUACACACCGCCCGUCAAGUCACGAAAGUUGGUAACACCCGAAGCCGGUGGCCUAACCCCUUGUGGAGGGA